rnacentral:rRNA from 1 species
UACGGAGGGUGCAAGCGUUAUCCGGAUUCACUGGGUUUAAAGGGUGCGUAGGAGGGCAGGUAAGUCAGUGGUGAAAUCUCCAAGCUUAACUUGGAAACUGCCGUUGAUACUAUCUGUCUUGAAUGUUGUGGAGGUGAGCGGAAUAUGUCAUGUAGCGGUGAAAUGCUUAGAUAUGACAUAGAACACCAAUUGCGAAGGCAGCUCACUACACAAUUAUUGACGCUGAUGCACGAAAGCGUGGGGAUCAAACAGG